rnacentral:rRNA from 1 species
GACGAACGCUGGCGGCGUGCUUAACACAUGCAAGUCGAACGGUAAGGCCCUUCGGGGUACACGAGUGGCGAACGGGUGAGUAACACGUGGGUGAUCUGCCCUGCACUUCGGGAUAAGCCUGGGAAACUGGGUCUAAUACCGGAUAGGACUCCGGACUGCAUGGUCUGGGGUGGAAAGCUUUUGCGGUGUGGGAUGGGCCCGCGGCCUAUCAGCUUGUUGGUGGGGUGAUGGCCUACCAAGGCGACGACGGGUAGCCGGCCUGAGAGGGUGACCGGCCACACUGGGACUGAGAUACGGCCCAGACUCCUACGGGAGGCAGCAGUGGGGAAUAUUGCACAAUGGGCGCAAGCCUGAUGCAGCGACGCCGCGUGAGGGAUGACGGCCUUCGGGUUGUAAACCUCUUUCAGCACAGACGAAGCGCAAGUGACGGUAUGUGCAGAAGAAGGACCGGCCAACUACGUGCCAGCAGCCGCAGUAACAC